AUGGGGAAGGCCUACCACAAGAAGCUGGGCGUGAACAAGGCGGCCGCCGCCGGCGCCGGCGGCGGGAAGGGCAAGGCCGCCCGCGGCGGGAACGGUAAGCACUCGGGAGGAAGCACGGCGAGAGCGGGCGCGGGCGGUGCCGGCCCGACAGAAGGCGCCAAGGGAGCAGGUGGUGCGGCGGCAUUCUUUCCCACCGGCCAUAGCACCUUCCAGACGGCAGUGGCUGCCACCAAUGACAAUGAGUACUACGACCAGGAGGAGAACGACUGUUCGUCUGAGGAAGACUGCCCACCAUUCACUCCCGCCGGCCAUAGCACAUUCCAGACGGCUGUUCAAUCCACGAAUGAGUACUAUGAUGAGGAGGAGAACGACUGUUCGUCCCCAUUCGCUCCAGCAGACCAUAGCACCUUUGCGACGGCCGUGAAGACCAUGAAUGAGUACUACGACGAGGAGGAGAACCUCGGUUUGUCCAUGGACAACGAGGAAGAGGGCGUGCAGGAUGCUGAGCUUGUGUCUGAUGCAGACGGAGAGGGUGAUGACGUCAGUGGCGGGCGUGGUGAUAACGACAAUGCCGGGGCUGGGAGUGGUGAUGACCUCUUCGACGGUGAUGACUACUACCGCGACGACAUUGCCGGGGGUUUUGACGAUGGCUACGAUCCAGGUGAUGCUGGGGAUGGAGGUGAUGACUGGUGGUAG
rnacentral:rRNA from 1 species